CCUACGGGAGGCAGCAGUGGGGAAUCUUGCGCAAUGGGGGAAACCCUGACGCAGCAACGCCGCGUGGGUGAUGAAAGCCUUCGGGUCGUAAAGCCCUGUCAGGUGGGAAGAAACUUGUGGAUGUUAAUACCAUCCAUGCUUGACGGUACCACCGGAGGAAGCACCGGCUAACUCCGUGCCAGCAGCCGCGGUAAUACGGAGGGUGCAAGCGUUGUUCGGAAUUAUUGGGCGUAAAGCGCGUGUAGGUGGUUGGGUAAGUCAGAUGUGAAAGCCUUCUGCUUAACAGAAGAAGUGCAUUUGAAACUGCCUGGCUAGAGUACGGGAGAGGAGAGUGGAAUUCCCGGUGUAGAGGUGAAAUUCGUAGAUAUCGGGAGAAACACCAGUGGCGAAGGCGGCUCUCUGGUCCGAUACUGACACUGAGACGCGAAAGCGUGGGGAGCAAACAGGAUUAGAUACCCUGGUAGUCCACGCCGUAAACGAUGGGCACUAGGUGUAGGAGGUAUUGACCCCUUCUGUGCCGAAGCUAACGCAUUAAGUGCCCCGCCUGGGGAGUACGGCCGCAAGGCUAAAACUUAAAGGAAUUGACGG
rnacentral:rRNA from 1 species